rnacentral:rRNA from 1 species
UACGAAGGGGGCUAGCGUUGCUCGGAAUCACUGGGCGUAAAGGGUGCGUAGGCGGGUCUUUUAAGUCAGGGGUGAAAUCCUGGAGCUCAACUCCAGAACUGCCUUUGAUACUGAGGAUCUUGAGUACGGGAGAGGUGAGUGGAACUGCGAGUGUAGAGGUGAAAUUCGUAGAUAUUCGCAAGAACACCAGUGGCGAAGGCGGCUCACUGGCCCGUAACUGACGCUGAGGCACGAAAGCGUGGGGAGCA